UGGCGGCGUGCUUAACACAUGCAAGUCGAACGAGGGAAUUCUUUUCGGAGAAUAUACCGAGUGGCAAACGGGUGAGUAACGCGUAGGCAACCUGCCUUCAAGAUGGGGACAACAGUCCGAAAGGGCUGCUAAUACCGAAUGACAUGUCUGAACCGCAUGGGACGGACAGCAAAGACGGCCUCCAAACUAUGCUGUCGCUUGAAGAUGGGCCUGCGUCUGAUUAGCUAGUUGGUGAGAUAACAGCCCACCAAGGCGACGAUCAGUAGCCGGUCUGAGAGGAUGAACGGCCACAUUGGGACUGAGACACGGCCCAGACUCCUACGGGAGGCAGCAGUGGGGAAUCUUCCGCAAUGGGCGAAAGCCUGACGGAGCAACGCCGCGUGAGUGAAGAAGGUCUUCGGAUCGUAAAGCUCUGUUGAAGGGGACGCACGGCGCCUGUUACAAGAUAGCAGGUGAAUGACGGUACCCUUCGAGGAAGCCACGGCUAACUACGUG
rnacentral:rRNA from 1 species